rnacentral:rRNA from 1 species
GACGAACGCUGGCGGCGUGCUUAACACAUGCAAGUCGAACGGAAAGGCCCUGCUUUUGUGGGGUGCUCGAGUGGCGAACGGGUGAGUAACACGUGAGUAACCUGCCCUUGACUUUGGGAUAACUUCAGGAAACUGGGGCUAAUACCGGAUAGGAGCUCCUGCUGCAUGGUGGGGGUUGGAAAGUUUCGGCGGUUGGGGAUGGACUCGCGGCUUAUCAGCUUGUUGGUGGGGUAGUGGCUUACCAAGGCUUUGACGGGUAGCCGGCCUGAGAGGGUGACCGGCCACAUUGGGACUGAGAUACGGCCCAGACUCAUACGGGAGGCAGCAGUGGGGAAUAUUGCACAAUGGGCGGAAGCCUGAUGCAGCAACGCCGCGUGCGGGAGGACGGCCUUCGGGUUGUAAACCGCUUUCGCCUGUGACGAAGCGUGAGUGACGGUAAUGGGUAAAGAAGCACCGGCUAACUACGU